ensembl:lncRNA
AUCCUAUUCUGCCUUUCUAUUUACAGAAAAAUAAUUUUGAAUGUAAACUUGCAUAAAUAAAAGGGGUUUUGAUCCCAAAAGACGUCGGAUGCUGAUAUUAACAGGCUGAUGCCUGCUUGCUUGUCAUGCUGGCUCACAUCUUCUUUGUCAGGCUGGCAACCGAGACCCGGGACAUUUAUAUGAACAGCUGGUAGCAUAAGAGGUAUGGGGACAUGUGAUGGAGUAACUUGAUAAGUCCAAGCACCAAAGGCGAAUGCAACACUUGGAUCCAGAGUCCUGUAACAUAAAACUGCAGCAGUGGUCAUCGGUAUUCACUCUGAUCUUUUCC